rnacentral:tRNA from 1 species
CUAGGUGUAGGGGAGCCUGGCCGUCCCCGCCUGCCUUGGAAGCAGGAGACCGCUGGUUCAAAUCCAGCCACCUGGACCA